rnacentral:tRNA from 1 species
GGCCGGGUGGUGGAAUGGUAGACACGAGGGAUUUAAAAUCCCUUGGCGGCAACGUCGUGCGGGUUCAAGUCCCGCCCCGGCUA